rnacentral:rRNA from 1 species
UACGGAAGGUGCAAGCGUUAAUCGGAAUUACUGGGCGUAAAGCGCGCGUAGGCUGCUUGGUAAGUCGGAUGUGAAAGCCCCGGGCUCAACCUGGGAACUGCAUUCGAUACUGCCGGGCUGGAGUACGAGAGAGGGGGGUGGAAUUCCAGGGGUAGCGGUGAAAUGCGUAGAGAUCUGGAGGAACACCAGUGGCGAAGGCGGCCCCCUGGUUCGAUACUGACGCUGAGGUGCGAAAGCGUGGGGAGCAAACAGG